CCUUAGUAGCGGCGAGCGAAUUGGGAAAAGCCCAGCACUGAAGUCUACUUUUGGUAUACAAAGGUUAGACAAUGUAGUGUUUAGGAGUGCCCGAUUAACCCAAUUAUGAAUAGCGCGCCUAAGUCCUUCUUGAAGGGGGCCAUACACCCAUAGAGGGUGCAAGGCCUGUAAUGACCGUUAUGGCAUUUUUGGGUGGGUGUUACAAAACUCCUUAGAGUCGAGUUGCUUGAUAGUGCAGCUCUAAGAGGUGGUAAACUCCAUCUAAGGCUAAAUAUAACCACGAGACCGAUAGUAAACAAGUACCGUGAGGGAAAGUUGAAAAGAACUUUGAAGAGAGAGUUCAAUAGUACGUGAAACCGUUUGGGGGUAAGCCUGGUAAACUUAAGCAAAACUUUAAUAUGAAGAUUCAAUCACCAAUUUUUCCGGUAUAUAUUGAUUUUAUUUAUAUUAUAUAUUUUUUAUGUUCUCAUAAAUUAUAUUUAUAUAUUAAAUUCUUAUAUUACCGGUGGUGUGCAUUUCUUCUAUAUAAUAUUAAAGACUAAUCGUAACUUGUUAGUAUGCCAUCUUAUGGUCUACAAUGGUGCUCAAUGAUUAUAUAAAUAAGUUUUUAUUGAUUUAUAUAAACCCAUGAACUUGUUGAAACCUGUAUGGCAAAUUGACAUUAUAAAUUGAGAUGCUGGAACGCAAUAUGUAUGCGAAUUUACACGUUACAAUAUGUAUAUAUUUAAUUGAUAUCAUUUUAAGAUAGAUAUUUUAUAUAUUUCAUUUUUGUAACGGUUUGUUCUUUUACUGUUUCACAUCUGUUGACGAGAUAAUGCAUUGGGUAUAUACCAGGACCCGUCUUGAAACACGGACCAAGGAGUCUAGCAUAUGCGCAAGUCAAUGGACAUAUAUAAAUCCUAAGGCGAAAUGAAAGUGAACAAAUAAAUUUGUUCUGGGUGUAUAAAUUUAUUUUUUUGGGACGAUGAGCUAAUUUGUAUACAAUAUAUGUAUAUAAUGUUAUUAACGUAGCUCCGCACUCCCGAGGCGUCUCAAUAUGUGUUGUUUUUUUUUGUAUGUUAACACGAGUCGCACUCUGAGCGUAUAUGCUGGGACCCGAAAGAUG
rnacentral:rRNA from 1 species